rnacentral:rRNA from 1 species
CCUACGGGCGGCAGCAGUGAGGAAUAUUGGUCAAUGGACGAGAGUCUGAACCAGCCAAGUAGCGUGAAGGAUGACUGCCCUAUGGGUUGUAAACUUCUUCUAUAAAGGAAUAAAACGAGGCACGUGUGCCUUUUUGCAUGUACUUUAUGAAUAAGGAUCGGCUAACUCCGUGCCAGCAGCCGCGGUAAUACGGAGGAUCCGAGCGUUAUCCGGAUUUAUUGGGUUUAAAGGGAGCGUAGAUGGGUUGUUAAGUCAGUUGUGAAAGUUUGCGGCUCAACCGUAAAAUUGCAAUUGAUACUGGCAGUCGUGAGUACAGUUGAGGUAGGCGGAAUUCGUGGUGUAGCGGUGAAAUGCUUAUAUAUCACGAAGAACCCCGAUUGCGAAGGCAGCUUACUAAACUGUGACUGACAUUGAUGCUCGAAAGUGUGGGUAUCAAACAGGAUUAGAUACCCCUGUAGUC